rnacentral:tRNA from 1 species
GGCCUCGUAGCUCAGCUGCUAGAACGUGCGCGAACAAGCGUAGGCGGCGUUCAUGCGUGGGUUCGAAUCCCACCGAGGCUA